rnacentral:lncRNA from 1 species
CAGCAAGUAUUUAUUGAGACUCUUGUUUUGUGCUUGAGACUGUAUCAAGUGUUGUGGAUUCCUCUUUGAAAAGGGGGACUUCCCUGGCGGUCCAGGGGCACAGGUUCAAUCCCUGGUGGUGCAGGAACACAGGUUCAAUCCCUGGUGGCGGAAUUAAGAUUCCACAUGCCACAAAACCAAAAAAAAACAAAACAAAAAAAUACAGGAAGUAAAUAGUCCACCCUCAGGAGCCAUACAGUUCAUCUGGAAGAUAGAAAUGAACUGCAUGGCACAAGUUGCUGGCAGAUGAUGCACCACAGGAGAAGUGAGUGACAAAGGAAGGUAACUCUGGGGGCCAAAGCCAACUCUGGGGAGUUUUCUGCCUGAAAAUUCGCCCUCAGAAAUCAGAAGCUCAAAACUGUACUUGUUAUUCCUGCCUCUCAUCUUUCUGCACUUCCGCACUGAUUCCUCCAAGAAGCCAGCUGGCUGGCUGACCGAGUGUCUGCAUGUUGCUCCCAAAACAAUAGGAAUAAAGGCAAACCAGAAGAAGGGGAGAUAAUAGUUUAUAAUUUCAAGGCCAUGUUUAAGCAAGCCAAAAAACAAGCAAGUCCAAUGAGGAAAUGCCCUUCAACAGCUGACAUCCCCCCAACAAAUUUAUUGAAAAUACCCAACUUCUGGAGGAAAAUAUAGGCAAAUUAAAAUACUCUAAUAAUGACCCACUGGCCAAGGGUUCAUUGAUUCAAAUUGAGUAAAUACUACCUUUGCACGUCUAUUCCUGUGGCUAUUGUUUGGCUGACAUGCUUCUUUAGAACUUAAGCUUGCCCAGCCCUUGAAAGGAAUGAAGAAGGGGCAUAUAUCUCAAGCACAACAUCUCUGAUGUCUUUGUCAAUUUCCUAUGUGAAGCCUGAAUUAUGAUACAAUAUGUCUUGAGCCACAGAUAAAAACUUUCCAAAUCAGAAAAAGAGCCUUCUAACAAUUGCCACUAGAGAUGAUUAUUCCCUAAUCAACACUGAAGGAAAUGAGAACUGCCCCUCUGUAUUAUUCCCAGAUAUCUUCUGGAAGUGUUGAGAAGAAUAUUUAAGUGAAUGAUUCUUAGCCAAAAGGAAAAAAAAAAAAAGGACACAAAAAUGAGUGAUUAAUUCCUCUUAAGUUCUAAUUAGGAGCAUGAAUUAUCUGAUCCCUUAAAUUGACGGUUUGCAGGCAAUAACUUGUAAUAUUAAUACAGGCUUUAAAAACUGGGUAGGUUGUGAUUCUAAAGUUAAGAGAGAUAGAUUUAGUUCUAGCCAAUCUUUGCUUUCUCCUGACACUGAAAUAUAAGAACUGCAUGAUUUUAAUUACACUCUGAAAACUGAAAUAAAUAAGUGACUCCCUAUUCUGGUAAAGGUCUGCCGGCUCUGUAACUUGCUAGCUGUAGGACUUUGGGCAAGUAACUUAAUAUG